rnacentral:rRNA from 1 species
GGACCCGCACAAGUAGUGGAGCAUGUGGUUUAAUUCGAAGAUACGCGCAGAACCUUACCAACACUUGACAUGUUCGUCGCGACUUUAAGAGAUUAAAGUUUUCGGUUCGGCCGGACGAAACACAGGUGCUGCAUGGCUGUCGUCAGCUCGUGUCGUGAGAUGUUGGGUUAAGUCCCGCAACGAGCGCAACCCUCACUUUUAGUUGCCAUCAUUUAGUUGGGCACUCUGAAAGAACUGCCAGUGAUAAGCUGGAGGAAGGUGGGGAUGACGUCAAGUCCUCAUGGCCCUUACGUGUUGGGCUACACACGUGCUACAAUGGUAUCUACAACAGGAAGCAAAACAGCGAUGUUAAGCAAAUCCUUAAAAGAUACCUCAGUUCGGAUUGCACUCUGCAACUCGAGUGCAUGAAGCUGGAAUUACUAGUAAUCG